ACACCAGCAGGUGGCGGUGCAAGCACACACAGUCUAUGACACACAUAGAACCUGAAAGAGCAUCAUGAGUGUCAUACUAUGAGCUGCAUGGCAUACCAUGGCGUCAGGAAAUCGAAAGCAAACCCGCUGCAAACCGAUGGACCACAAAGUACAGUUGAAUCUGCCGCCAAGGCCCUGAUAAAUAUAAUUUCAAGAAAUUUAACAGGCCAGGCCAGAGCAGACGACAGAGCAGGCUACAGGGCAGGCUACUAGGACUCCUUCAACACCCAGUGAGAGGGUCCAGCAUGAGUUAAGAAGACAAUUUCCUGGUUUCUAUCGUGGGGCACAAAGAAACAAGAAAAGGCCUGAAAUAUUUCUGUAGUAUCAGAGAAACUCAGUAGGAUUUUGAAGAAACACAACAUCCCUGUGUUUUUUAAACCCAAGAACACACUAAGACAGAUGAUGGUCCACCCAAAGACCGCACAGUUGGGGAAACUAAACCACCACUUCACAGACGCAUGGCUCAACACAGAAGGGCCAACUCCUCAGGUCAAGACUCAACAGUUUACCUACAUCUGAAGGACAGAGGACACUCGUUUGAGGACCACCAGGUGUUUCUGGCUCUGGAGCUGUGGAGUCUGGAUCUGUGGUUGCGAGUCACCUGCUGCCCCCAUGUUCCUGUGGGACACCCUCUGUUACGAUUAUUGUUACUAGUCCUAUUACUAUUAUCAUUGCAACUAUUAUCAUAAACAUUGCUAUGAAUAUCUGUACCAUUAUUCGCUCUGUCUAUGGCAACAUUGCCGCUACUGUCUGUACCUCUGUGUGUAUAUUGUGUAGGCUGCUCCUCCCUCCCUCUGGCUCUGUCUCUUUCUCUCGCCCCCAACCGGUUGAGGCAGAUGGCCACCCACCCUGGGCCAUGGUUCUGCUCAAGGUUUCUGCCUCUUAAAAGGAACCUUGCCUCUGUAGCCUAGCGCUUGCAUUGUUGGGUUUCUGUAAAUAACAUCAGAGAGUACGGUCUAGACCUGCUCUUGAUGAAAAGUGCUGUGAGAUAAGUGUUGUUGUGAUUUGGAGCUAUAUAAAUAAAAUUGAAUAGAAUAC